UAUAUUAGUUUUUCUAUUAAGUGUUCUUUCAAUUGUGUCUGUGUGUUUGCAAACAUCUAGAUUUAAAAAAUAGGUGUUUCUAAGUGUCUCAAAAUUUUAAAUAAGGUGACUUUUAAGUUUUUCAUUCUGAUGUUACAGCUCUUGGAACAAAGCUCAAAAACGAUAUUCAGGUAAGGUGUGAGUAUACAUACAUAUUAUUUAACGGUAACUAUCGGUUGAAUUAAUUAGUAGUCAUUUAUGGCAGCUGUUACUUUUCUAUUAAUCACAAAGAAAGUUAAGAUUUGAGUUUUUAUCAAUGAAGCUCAUCAUAGACAAAAUUAUUUACAUUUUAUACCAGCACUAGGAUUUCUACUAUACACGACCUUUAUAUUCCUGAAAAAUAAAAACUUUUUGUGUAAAAUUCUAUGGCAAAAAUAAAAAGACUUGGGGGAAAUAGGGCUGGGGAGACCACACACAACUUAGGCAAUUUUAUAACCAGAACACUCACAAAAUGAAUGUAGGUACCUUGGACACUGGUGGGCAGCAACUCAGCAUGCCUGGAGCUGCUUCACAGGAUAUUAAAAAUGCACAAAGUAAGUAAAAUGGAAACACUUACAGGCACUAAGGCAAUGUAAAUGCAAGAGGAGCUCUGAUCAGCUGGGCUGCUUAAAGAUGAGAACAGGAGGAAAUGCAACUGCCAAGGUCAGUGUGUGUGUUUUUCUGGAAGGAGGGCCUGAACGAAGGGUUCAUUUUUAAUUUUUAAAGACACAUAGACCCAUGCAACAGAUUUUUAAAAAACAGAACUUUCUGAAAUUGCUUCUUCUUCUUCUAUAGAUGAGCUGAGGGUCUUUUUUCCUUUCUACUAAAGUUUAUGAUUCUCGUUUCACUAUUUCUUUCUCCCAUUGCCUAGCAAAACUGCAUCUGAAUCAGCACACCCUCCACAUGGGUGAUGCUAUAGAAACUUGUGUUUUGGUACAGUGUUCCCAAAGCUUUUGUGCAUAUAAAAAUUGCCCUAAAGGCUUCUUAAGAACAGAUUUCCAGGUCCCAUUUCUGACAAACUUCCAAAGGAGGCAGGUAUCACUGGUAGCACAGAUCACCUUUUAAGUGGUGAGGCUGUUCCAGUACAGAUGUGUGAUAUUCACCUGUGAAUUUCAACUCUUCAUUCACCUGUGAAUUUCAACACUGACGGAAAUUGUAUUGAAUACAGGAUCCACACUUUCAGAAAAGAAGUGAGAACAUCCCACCAAUGCACUUUUAGUGAAGUUUUUACUUCUUCCAUCUGAUUCAGUCUUUUUGGUAGUUCAGAAGAGUGGCAGUCACUGAUUCACAAUGAUGCAUAAUGAUAAACAUUACUUCGAUAGGGUUACCCUUUGUAAAUUUAAUUAAUUAUUAGGGAUAUGAGAAAACAACAAUUUGAAGUAAUAAGUACUUGGAUAUUUCUACUACUUACUACCAAAUCAAAUAUUUUCUUUUCUUUUUUUUUUUUUUUCUUGAGUUGGAGUCUCACUCUGUUGCCAGGCUGGAGUACAGUGGCACAAUCUCAACUCACUGAAACCUUCACCUUCUGGGUUCAAGCAAUGCUCCUGCCUCAGUCUCCUGAGUAGCUGGGACUACAGGCGCACACCACCAUGCCCAGGGAAUCAGGUGCUAACAACCAUCUAGAGACUAGCUGGAGAAAAGUUCAAUGUUUGGACACCCUCUUAGGGUAGCCCUUGCCGACAGAACUGAGCUUUGUGAGGUUUGUUUUUACUUUGUUUUGUUUUUUUCAUAGUCAAGUGGUAAUAAUACUGGACUAUUAGUAGUGGGAGAGUCAUGGAAAUGUAAUAGUGAUUGAGAG